UGAGACUUUAUCUGAGAAAAACAAACAAAUAAGACAAGUAGAUACAGAAGACGAAUUUUUAAAAUUUGCAGUUUAUAAACACCACCAUAUAUAGUUCUUGGAUUAAGUGAAAAAUGCUAUCUGAAAUAAUAGGCUAUUUAGAUAUGAAAGAUAGUGAGUGUUGCAUAAUAAAACCUGAGGUAUGUGGCUCAUUUGAAUAAAUAAACAUUCAAGCAGAAAAGUAACAAACCCAAAAUUAACACUGGAAACGUAUUACAUAAAUCAAUUUGUUUAUUCAAUGAAUUUGAAUGAAUUACUUAGAAAGAAAAAUUAAUGAGCUAAACAGAAAGUGGACUUUAUCUAAAAGUGGUUUGAAACAACUUGUAAUAUAGACUAGAUUUGCCAGUUAUGAUUGAGAUAAGUAAGAGAAAUGACAUAAAUGCAUCAGUGCAAUUGGGAACAUGGAAAUUUUACAGGCAUUUUUCAUAGUAUGAAAUGUUUUGUUUAGUAUUUCAAUUAAAUUUAAAACAUCUAUGGUAAACUUCAUUUUGCAGGAAUAUGUAAAUAUGUAAGUGUUUCUAGUUGGUUCACUGAGGCAUAGAAAAUUUGAAUGAAGCCAAACCUGAAGCUAUAGAAAGUCUGAAUGAAGCCAAAAUGUGAAAACUUUACUCCACAAGGAAGAAUCCAUGCCAGUGAUAAGCUUAAUGAAAUGUGUGGGAACACCUUUACGUUUUGCACAAAUCAUAUGAAACAUCAGAGAAAUUUCACUGGAAAGAAAUGCAGAGAAUAUAAGGAAUGUGGCAGAGACUUUGAUCAUAACUUUCAGUUAACUCAGUAUCAGAGUCCAAAGAUAAAUGGAGCUUCGAGUAUGGCAUGAUCAAGAUGUUCACUAUGUCAUCAGGUUUCAACACUGAACACUCAGCUCUCCCUUUGCCAGUGUUUUGGCUUUGACUUGAGGCCAAUUUCCUCAUGACUGCAUCAGUUCCAGGCCUCCUAUCUGGACAUAUCCCUUUCAGUACAAGAGGGAGAGCACCUUUGCCUAGCGUUCCACAAUAAACCUCUGAGAUUCACUUUGACUGGGUUAAGGUAAUUGAUAUGCCCAAUCGUAAACCAAGAGCUUCAGCGUGCAAGAAGCCCUCCCUACAUGGAGGCACACACAGUCCCACAUCUUUUGAGCUCCAGAGGUCAAAGCUCUGAGUGUGGCUGGGACCUGCUUCCCUUCUCUCUCAUCAUCUUGGGUCCAGUUAACCAUCACCAAUAAC